GCUUAGAGAGGGGUCAAUGUCCUAUCAGCUAGUUGGUAGGGUAAUGGCCUACCAAGGCUGAGACGGGUAGCCGGCCUGAGAGGGUGGUCGGCCACACUGGGACUGAGACACUGCCCAGACUCCUACGGGAGGCUGCAGUCGAGAAUCUUUCGCAAUGCCCGAAAGGGUGACGAAGCGACGCCGCGUGUGGGAAGAAGGCCUUCGGGUUGUAAACCACUGUCGGGAGUUAAGAAAUGCAAGGGUGUUAAUAGCAUCCUUGCUUGACUAAGGCUCCGGAGGAAGCCACGGCUAACUCUGUGCCAGCAGCCGCGGUAAUACAGAGGCGGCAAGCGUUGCUCGGAAUUAUUGGGCGUAAAGAGCACGUAGGCGGCUUUGUAAGUCAGUUGUGAAAGCCUUCUGCUCAACGGAAGAACAGCAUCUGAUACUGCAAGGCUAGAGUGCGGAAGGG
rnacentral:rRNA from 1 species